rnacentral:misc_RNA from 1 species
UCUCCGUUGGUGAACCAGCGGAGGGAUCAUUACCGAGUUUACGACUCCCGAACCCCUGUGAACAUACCAUUUGUUGCCUCGGCGGUGCCUGCUUCGGCAGCCCGCCAGAGGACCCAAACCCUUGAUUUUAUACAGUAUCUUCUGAGUAAAUGAUUAAAUAAAUCAAAACUUUCAACAACGGAUCUCUUGGUUCUG